UACGUAGGCAGCGAGCGUUGUUCGGAGUUACUGGGCGUAAAGCGUGCGUAGGCGGUUGUCUAAGUCUGGUGUGAAAUCUCCCGGCUCAACUGGGAGGGUGCGCCGGAAACUGGAUGACUGGAGUGCCGGAGAGGUAAGCGGAAUUCCUGGUGUAGAGGUGAAAUUCGUAGAUAUCGAGAGGAACACCUGUGGCGAAGGCGGCUGCCUGGACGACGAUUGACGCUGAGACGCGAAAGCGUGGGGAGCAAACAGG
rnacentral:rRNA from 1 species